UGAUGUUGGCUAUUUGUUCAUCAACCUCUGGAAAGUAGCUGGAGCUACUUUCCAGAGGUUGAUGAACAAAGUUAUUGCCGACAUCCC
rnacentral:pre_miRNA from 1 species